rnacentral:sRNA from 1 species
UUGUCCACUUGUGCAUCGGUCUGGUUCAGACGCGAUGACAAGACUUCUGCGAUCGUCGAAGAGAU